CAACGGAUAGAUUGUAAAUAAUUCUGUACACACGGAUAGAUUGUUGGUAAUUGAUGAAAUGUUGACAUUUCUGUGAAUACACGGAUAGAUUGUUUGAAUUUCUGAAUAGAUUGCUGGUAUUUCUGUACACACGGAUAUAUAAUUGGUACUUCUGUUAAAUCGAUUGUAAGUACUUAUGAUAGGUCUGUGAUGCUUCUCUAAUGACACAGUACCAGCCCAGUCCCUGGUUUGAGUGAACCCUGUAAGCCCGGGUUCUUUAGGAUAGAUAUGUGGUACCUCUUACAUGACCUUGUAUUAACCCAGUCUAUAACUGUUUAUAGUCCAUGGUUUGAGUGACCCCUGUAAGCCCGGGUUCACAAGGAUCGGUCAGUGGUGUUUCUCUAUCCACACGGACCUCGCCACCAGGAACGACAGUGUCGCCAUCUGUGAACGGCUGGGUGGCGGCAUGGUAGUGCUGGGCAGUGCCGAGAAAGAGAGGGCGCUCACGUCAUAUAUCAUAGAAAAUGACCUUCUCACAAUGACUGACCAGCGUCUGUUUGCAAAGACUUCCUUCAGUACGGAACCAAGAGUAAAAAGUACCGACAUUUUACUAACAACAAGAUUCCUGUAGGUUCCCUUCCCGAGGACCGCGCUAACCUGACCACCCCCGCCGGGUUUACGAUCGCCCUGUACUCCAUCAUUUGCAGACACAGGCAGUGCAGUAAUUAAUCUCAAUGUGACAGAUAAAGAUAAAGCUUAGGAUUUUCUUCCUGUGGAAGGUUAAUUAAUCCCAAAGGACAAAUAUUGCACAGCCUUCCAAGUAUACAAUGGUAACAUUCUCAGCAGUUAUCUCUCUUUGCCCAUUCAUUCUUAUGCAUAGUUAAGGUAUCUACCCCACCACCCCAGCUCCAAACCAGAAGACCUAGAGAACCAAACUUAGCAUCAAAAUAUGUA